CUCAUUUUUCAGUCUUUUGGCUAAGAUCAAGUGUAAUAUUUGUUUUACUAGUUCAAUAUCUGGUAUAUGAACAAUAAGUUCACUUUGAUAUUAAAUUCAUUUAUCAUGGGUAUUUUUAUGUGAAGGGUCCAUUAAAACUCUAGUCAUCCAAUCAAUAUCAUCGAAUAUGGUUGGAUACCA
rnacentral:snRNA from 1 species